rnacentral:rRNA from 1 species
GGCCUUUUGAUUAUAAUUUAAGGUCGGGCCUGCCCAAUGAAGUUUUAAUGGCCGCGGUAUAUUAACUGUGCAAAGGUAGCAUAAUCAUUAGUUUUUUAAUUGAAAGCUGGAAUGAAGGGUUUAAUGAAAAAAGUUCUGUUUCUAUUCAAAUUUAUUAGAAUUUUAUUUUUAAGUUAAAAAGCUUAGAUAAUUAUUGAAGACGAGAAGACCCUAUAGAGUUUAAUAUUUUUAAAAGUUACUGUAUUUGGUAAAUUUUAAUCUAAUUUUUAAAAGUAUUUUGUUGGGGUGAUUGAAAAAUUAAAAGAACUUUUUUUUUAUUGAACAUUAAUGUAUGAAUAAAUGAUCCUUUUUUUAGAUUAAAAGAAAGAAUUACCUUAGGGAUAACAGCGUAAUUUUUUUUUAGAGUUCUAAUCAAAAGAAAAGAUUGCGACCUCGAUGUUGGAUUAAAAUAAGUUUUUGGUGCAGAAGCUAAAAAACUAGGUCUGUUCGACCUUUAAAUUUUUACAUGAUCUGAGUUUAGACCGGUUUGAG